AAACAAAUAGAAAAAGAACUAGAAGUAUCCAGCCGGAGGUGUGGGGAAUGGUUCUAAACCGUUGCUGUUUACAAUGGCUUUUACAGAACAGUGACUGCUUCAUCUAGAUACCCAUGUCAGCCCAGAAAACAAAAAGCAUAUUCCAAGAAGUAACAGGCAGUGGAAAUCCUGGAUUUGACUCAAGCUGUGAGUCCAGAUGCAGCUUCUGGAGGUACAGAAGCAACAGCCCUGGCUCAUCCACCCGGCAGGGAACCACCGCGCUGACACUGUGAACCCAAACAUCCUGACCUCCACCUCAGAGCUCAGCACUGCCACAUCUUGCUGACUCCUACAGAAAGAAGGGCUGCGGCCGCUUCCAUCUCCUCCAGCCGUGCGGACUCCGCAGAGCCCCACAGACGGCAGAAAACACUGGCUCGUUCUGUAGUUGUUAAGUAAGUAACAGUCCUGUUGCAGCAACUUUCAGCCGCUUCUGGAGCUGCAAGUGAAACGGUCCAUCUGCGGAGAGCCAGUCAGAGCUCAGAGAUGCUAAACAAAGGCUGAGAAAAUUCUCCCAAAUGCACAUGCUUGGCCUCUGAACGCCACGCCCUUGCAUGGAGCCUUGAGUUCUCAAAGGCACGUCUAGGGACUGGUCAGUUAGGUCACUUGGUGAAGUGUGUCCCUGGAAAGCAUGAAGAUAGAGCUCGUUGUCCCCAGCACUUACCAAAAAGAAGACGACAUGGGCACAGCGUUCGUAUAAGCCCACGGCUUCUGGAAGUGAUGGAGCUGCCUGGACCUGCUGUUGGACAUGCCUUCAGAUGACCCCCCUUCGGAAGCAGUUCUUCUAAAGUCUCCACAUCUCAGGAAGCCAAUGGGGCUGGACAGGCCCAGCUGUGUGCUCCAGCUCACCGUGUCAGUGUCAGCACGCACACUAUACCCGUGGCUAGGUACAUGUGGAAGAGACCAUAGGUCUUUGAUUCCACAAGCUCAACAUGGCAGAAGGACAAAGGGACUGAGAUGUGCUCUUCAAACUCCUACUAGAGACACUAAAUCCGUUCCCAAGGGCUCUGCCUCAUGACACAAAUAUCUAACGGGCCUGACUCCUAACACCAUGUAUACUUCUGGCAACAGUGGGAGCAUGGCAGGGGUGCAGCUGUCUGUCACAAUUCCUCUGCACCCAGCAACUUCAUUUGCUUGCACUUUAAGUGCUCCCAAUAAGGAGAAAGAGAGCCUGACCAUUGGGACUGCUCAUCUCAAGGGAACUAACUUCAGGUCCUCCAUGCUCAGAGGCUCAGCCAAAACAAGCCUCGGGCAAAUAACUUAAGUGUUUACCCACAGAGAACAGGUAGGCCACACCAGCUCAGGAAUUCUAAACUCCUGCAACUUCCAAAACAACCCAGUGGUGAGGGCAAAUUAAAAACAAUGCCGUGCACCCGGAAUGCUGCUAGUUGAUGCUUCCAGAGAGAAUAAAGAUAAACAAAAAAUAUUCCCAAACCUGGUUCCCGUUCACUCUGAGAGAAUCCAGCUCAUUCCUUCAUAAGGAAAAUUAGGGGCCUGGGAGGUAUAGCUCAAUGGGGUGAGAGCUUGCCUAGCACCAGAGCCCUGGGUUCAAUGCCCAGCACCACAUAAACUGGGUGUGGUGGUACACAUCCAUAAUCCCAGCACUCAGGGGAUAGAAGCAGGAAGUUCAGAAGUUGAAGAACAUCCCUAGCUACCCAGCAAAUUCCACAUCCACCUGGGAUACAUAAGACCCUGUCUGAAACAACAAGAAUCUUGGUUGGCCUAGCCUACAUUAGGCAUACGAAGAGUUUGUCUUCUAGGUCAUUUAAAUACUAUCAAGUUGACAUUCAAGGUUAAUCAUAACUCCAGCCAAGCCCUGCCUCUUUCAGAAAGCCUGCCCUGCUUUUCACUCUGGGUCUUU